UCCACAGUAGCUCAGUGGUAGAGCUAUCGGCUGUUAACCGAUCGGUCGUAGGUUCGAGUCCUACCRAGGAGCCA
rnacentral:tRNA from 1 species